AUUGAACACUGGCGGCAGGCUUAACACAUGCAAGUCGAACGAGUGGCGGAGGGGUGAGUAAUGCUUGGGAAUCUCGCUUAUGGAGGGGGAUAAAUACGGGAAACUGUAGCUAAUACCGCGACCCAUAGGGUGAGCCCAAGUGGGAUUAGGUAGUUGGUGGGGUAAAGGCUCACCAAGCCGACGAUCUCUAGCUGGUCUGAGAGGAUGACCAGCCACACGGGGACUGAGACACGGCCCAGACUCCUACGGGAGGCAGCAGUGGGGAAUAUUGCGCAAUGGGGGCAACCUGACGCAGCCAUGCCGCGUGAAUGAAGAAGGCCUUCGGGUUGUAAAGUUCUUUCGGUAGCGAGGCGUUAACUACAGAAGAAGCACCGGCUAACUCCGUGCCAGCAGCCGCGGUAAUUC
rnacentral:rRNA from 1 species